rnacentral:rRNA from 1 species
ACAUGCAAGUCAGGGGCAGCGGUAUGUAGCAAUACGUAGCCGGCGACCGGCGCAAGGGUGCGUAACGCGUGAGCAACAUGCCCGUCACAGGAGGAUAAUCCAUGGAAACGUGGUCUAAUACUCCAUAGUAUCGGAGUGAGGCAUCUCAUUCUGAUUAAAGCUUCGGUGGUGACGGAUUGGCUCGCGUGACAUUAGCUAGAUGGAGAGGUAACGGCUCACCAUGGCUACGAUGUCUAGGGGAACUGAGAGGUUUAUCCCCCACACUGGUACUGAGACACGGACCAGACUCCUACGGGAGGCAGCAGUGAGGAAUAUUGGACAAUGGAUGGAAAUCUGAUCCAGCCAUGCCGCGUGCAGGACGACGGCCCUAUGGGUCUUAAACUUCUUUUGUAAGGGAGCAAUAAGUCGCACGUGUGCGUCGAUGAGAGUACCUUACGAAUAAGCAUCGGCUAACUCCGUG